rnacentral:tRNA from 1 species
CCGGAUAUAGCUCAGCACGGCUAGAGCGCUGCGUUCGGGACGCAGAGGCCGGGAGUUCAAAUCUCCCUAUCCGGACGA